GAUGAACGCUGGCGGCGUGCCUAAUACAUGCAAGUCGAGCGAACGGACGAGAAGCUUGCUUCUCUGAUGUUAGCGGCGGACGGGUGAGUAACACGUGGAUAACCUACCUAUAAGACUGGGAUAACUUCGGGAAACCGGAGCUAAUACCGGAUAAUAUUUUGAACCGCAUGGUUCAAAAGUGAAAGACGGUCUUGCUGUCACUUAUAGAUGGAUCCUCGCUGCAUUAGCUAGUUGGUAAGGUAACGGCUUACCAAGGCAACGAUGCAUAGCCGACCUGAGAGGAUGAUCGGCCACACUGGAACUGAGACACGGUCCAGACUCCUACGGGAGGCAGCAGUAGGGAAUCUUCCGCAAUGGGCGAAAGCCUGACGGAGCAACGCCGCGUGAGUGAUGAAGGUCUUCGGAUCGUAAAACUCUGUUAUUAGGGAAGAACAUAUGUGUAAGUAACUGUGCACAUCUUGACGGUACCUAAUCAGAAAGCCACGGCUAACUACGUG
rnacentral:rRNA from 1 species